AGUGAACGCUGGCGGUAGGCCUAACACAUGCAAGUCGAACGGCAGCACAGUAAGAGCUUGCUCUUACGGGUGGCGAGUGGCGGACGGGUGAGGAAUACAUCGGAAUCUACUUUUUCGUGGGGGAUAACGUAGGGAAACUUACGCUAAUACCGCAUACGACCUACGGGUGAAAGCAGGGGAUCUUCGGACCUUGCGCGAUUGAAUGAGCCGAUGUCGGAUUAGCUAGUUGGCGGGGUAAAGGCCCACCAAGGCGACGAUCCGUAGCUGGUCUGAGAGGAUGAUCAGCCACACUGGAACUGAGACACGGUCCAGACUCCUACGGGAGGCAGCAGUGGGGAAUAUUGGACAAUGGGCGCAAGCCUGAUCCGGCCAUACCGCGUGGGUGAAGAAGGCCUUCGGGUUGUAAAGCCCUUUUGUUGGGAAAGAGAAGCAGCAGGUUAAUACCCCGCUGUUCUGACGGUACCCAAAGAAUAAGCACCGGCUAACUUCGUG
rnacentral:rRNA from 1 species